GGACUACCCGGGUAUCUAAUCCUGUUUGCUCCCCACGCUUUCGUGCCUGAGCGUCAGUGUCAGCCCAGGGGGCUGCCUUCGCCAUCGGUGUUCCUCCGUAUCUCUACGCAUUUCACUGCUACACGCGGAAUUCCACCCCCCUCUGCCACACUCCAGCCCGCCAGUUUCCAAUGCCAUUCCCAGGUUGAGCCCGGGGCUUUCACAUCAGACUUAACGAACCGCCUGCGCACGCUUUACGCCCAGUAAUUCCGAUUAACGCUCGCACCCUACGUAUUACCGCGGCUGCUGACAC
rnacentral:misc_RNA from 1 species